CAAAUUGUACACUUGUAUUAAUGUAUGUUAAACUCUCUUUCAUGAGAAUCAUUAUAAUUUUUUAUCAAUUAAUUUUGUGAAACUUUAUAAUACCCUAAAUCGGUUGAAUAACCACAAUAAAAUUGUUAUUUUCUUAGAAAAUAGAGACAACAAAAGCUUCAAACCUCUUUCAACAUCAUCAUAUGUUAGUGCUCCAAACCUCUUUC
rnacentral:lncRNA from 1 species